rnacentral:tRNA from 1 species
AGGCUUGUAGCUUAGAGGUUUUAAAGCAAUCGACUCAUAAUCGAUAGAUCGUCGGUUCGAAUCCGACCAGGCCUACCA